rnacentral:pre_miRNA from 1 species
UGACAAUGAGAAUUUGUCUUUAAGUAGGGGUAAAUUACUCUUGAAAAAAAUGAUCUUAGGUAAUUUAUCUCUCAAACAGAGCAUCUUGU